UGUACAAUAAAUUACCUGUAACAGUCCUGGUGACGGCGGCGGUGGGCACGAACUCGGCGGCGAGCGGGUUGAGGCGGGAGCGAACAAACUCAGCAGCGAGCGGGUUGAGGCGGGAGCGGGACACGGUCUCCGCGAGGGACAGCGACGGGGCGCCGUUGCUGUCCUGGUGACGGCGGCGGUGGGCACGAACUCGGCGGCGAGCGGGUUGAGGCGGGAGCGAACAAACUCAGCAGCGAGCGGGUUGAGGCGGGAGCGGGACACGGUCUCCGCGAGGGACAGCGACGGGGCGCCGUUGCUGUCCUGGUGACGGCGGCGGUGGGCACGAACUCGGCGGCGAGCGGGUUGAGGCGGGAGCGAACAAACUCAGCAGCGAGCGGGUUGAGGCGGGAGCGGGACACGGUCUCCGCGAGGGACAGCGACGGGGCGCCGUUGCUGUCCUGGUGACGGCGGCGGUGGGCACGAACUCGGCGGCGAGCGGGUUGAGGCGGGAGCGAACAAACUCAGCAGCGAGCGGGUUGAGGCGGGAGCGGGACACGGUCUCCGCGAGGGACAGCGACGGGGCGCCGUUGCUGUCCUGGUGACGGCGGCGGUGGGCACGAACUCGGCGGCGAGCGGGUUGAGGCGGGAGCGAACAAACUCAGCAGCGAGCGGGUUGAGGCGGGAGCGGGACACGGUCUCCGCGAGGGACAGCGACGGGGCGCCGUUGCUGGUUCUGUCGCGGAUAAUAAUGAAUGAAUGAACGAAUGAAUGAAUGAAUUUUAUUUAUAUAAGUAACAAGGACUCAUUUGUAUUAGUAAUGCUUACAAACUAUGUUAGUACCUAGGGACAGCAUGAUUUCUA